GAUGAAGAACGUAGCGAAAUGCGAUAAGUAAUGUGAAUUGCAGAAUUCAGUGAAUCAUCGAAUCUUUGAACGCACAUUGCGCCCGCCAGUAUUCUGGCGGGCAUGCCUGUUCGAGCGUCAUUUCAACCCUCAAGCCCAGCUUGGUGUUGGGGAUCGGCACAGGCGCCCUCGGGCGCCAGCCGUCCCCUAAAUCUAGUGGCGGUCCCGCUGCAGCCUCCUCUGCGUAGUAGUUUUCUCCUCGCAAGGGCAGCUCGGUGGCGACCUCGCCGUAAAGCCCCCAACUUCUGAAAGGUUGACCUCGAAUCAGGUAGGAAUACCCGCUGAACUUAAGCAUAUCAAUAAGCGGAGGA
rnacentral:misc_RNA from 1 species